ACAGCAAAUCUUAAUUACUAUCAAUGUAAUAUUUAUAAGAACAAUAUAUAAGAAAAGAUUUCAUGAAGCAUAGAAAUCAUAAAUAUAAUUAUAUAUCAAUUUAAUUCUGGAAAUUAGAACCCAUCUGGCCCAGUUAUUCCCAAUGUGUUGUACUUGAACUGCCGACACUAUUGCCCAGGGUUGACGGGCAGAAGGGCGGAUUAAAAUGCAGAUUCUGGACCUCAUCCCUACAUCUCCAGAACCUCCAUCAGUGGUGCUCAGUAAUCCACAUCUUAAACAAAGUCUCUGCAGGCAUUUUUUGCAAUAAAUUGUAAGAAUCAUUGAUGUAGUUCCAUUACAUUAUAGCUGUCACAUUGAUGAAUGGGAAGAUUGAGGUCCAGGGAUGAGUGAAACUACUUAUCCAAGGAUGUACAUACAUACACACAAAUAAAGAAGUACGGAAAUGUACUCAAUAAUGUAAACAAAAUAGAAAUCAGAAGGCAAUUCAUGGUAAUUGUAAGAAACUUUCAAAUAUAGAGUGAAAUAUGAAUCAUCUGAAGUCUUAGCUCUCUAUAGCUAGUUUGUGCUCUCUCAGCAAUAGAAGUCAUUUGCACCAUCUAGAAUUCUACUCAUAGAAAUCCAGUGUUGGCUGGCGCCAUGGCUCACUAGGCUAAUCCUCCACCUGUGGUGCCAGCACACCGGGUUCUAGUCUUGGUCGGGGCGCCGGAUUCUGUCCUGGUUGCUCCUCUUCCUGUCCAGCUCUCUGCUGUGGCCCGGGAGGGCAGUGGAGGAUGUCCCAAGUCCUUGGGCCCUGCACCCGCAUGGGAGACCAGGAGAAGCACCUGGCUCCUGGCUUCGGAUCAGCGCGGUGCGCCGGCCGCAGCAGCUGUUGGAGAGUGAACCAACGGAAAAGGAAGACCUUUCUCUCUGUCUCUCUCUCUCUCUCACUGUCCACUCUGCCUGUCAAAAAGAAAAAAAAAGAAAAAGAAAAAGAAAUCCAGUGUUGACAAUUUGGUACAAUUAUAAGUAAAUAUGCAUAUACAUUUUACAUUUGGGAGAAAAAGAAUGAAGUUACUCUACUUAAUAUUUUGUUAUAUUUUUAUUAACUACCUUAAUAUUAUUCUUUUCUACUGUUUUUAGUGGUGGCAAGUUACUCAAUUAUAUGGAUAUACUAUACUCAUAAUUAAUUAUUCCUGCAUUUUACCUUCUAAUCAUUUCCUAUCGAGCUUAUGUUGUUAUGUUCAACACCCAGCCUAGGCUAUAAAUAUCAGAGAAAGCUUCCUGGAAGAGGUGACAACAGCCGAAUUUCAAUAAUAAAUACGAAUUAACUAGAUAAUGUAGGUGAAGAGAAUAUCUCAUUAAUUGCAGAAAGAGAGCUCAGUACAUCUUUUAGGGAGUCACGAGGACUAUGAGGCACUUUCUCCAGAGGAUAGCUGCCACUUGGCUCCAGUUAAUUGUUGCUAUGAAGAAAUAUACGUCAAGAGCUUAUAGAUUCCUUAAAUUUCUAAAAUAAACUAGAAAUCUGAAUUUACAGAAGAAAUCAUGUAAUUUUUAAACAUUAGUCCUCAAUUCUCAAAUGUUUCAAUACCCACCAAUCGGUCAUAUCAAACACGUGGGUGGGUAUGCGUGUGGAGAUUGCUGUGAAGAUUCCUGCGGAGGCCCUGGCCUGGCCACUCCUGCACGUAAACAUUUGUUCCUAUGCCCAAUUUUUCCCUAAGGGCGAAUUUGUAAAAGUAGAAUUAUUGAAUCAAAGGAUAUAUGCAUUUUAAGGCUGUUAGUAUGUAUUACUAAACUGCUUUCAGAAAGCUUGUACCACAAGUUCUGUGACGGUGCUAUUUCCAAACCAUAACCAGCAGUGCAUACUAUACAUAUUGUGAAACCUUUGCUAAUUUGCAAAGCAAAAACAAAGAAUAUCUAGCCUUUAUGUACUUGAACUUUUUUUCAUAUUCCUAAUAACUAUUUCUAUUUCUGUCAUCGACUACCUCCAAAACUGGUUGGAAGAAUUGCCAUAGAACUCCCAAGACUGUGUCUUUGCCUGACAUGCAGCAUGCCAAUUAGUGACAUUGGGGUGGUAGAAGAAAGUAGGUAUUUAUUGCAAAGCACAGAGCAACAAGUUGGGCAGUUACCAUUUAAUCCCUGGUGUCCUUAAGUGAUAGUUUUUACAGAUUGAAGUUGGGCUUGUGAAGUGCAUAUUCAGCUCGUGUCCAAUUCCCUGGGUUGAUCUGUGGUUGUUGAGGCCCUUUUUUGAUUUCUCGGCGAUAUCAUGUUCUUUUGGUAAUUUUGAUAACGGCAAAGGGUGUUGCAGUCAGUCAAGUGGUAUUUACUUCUUCCUCAGAGCUGGAAAUUCCUGGAAAAGAAAACCCUUAAGAUCAACAUGUUAUCUAUAGAGGAGCUAAAUGACCUCAUGAAUCUUGUGUUCAGGGAUGGUGUAGGGCCAGCUGCACCACUCCCUCAAUUUAGUGAAUUAAUUUUAGGAAAAGCAGGGCAAGGGAACUGAACUAAGGGAGGGAGGCUAGGAGAGUGGGGGAGACUGGCACCUGAUAGUAUCUAGUAUCUGUAUCCAAGGCACUACCUAGGGGGAUCUGUUUCACUUUUUUGCAUUACCAUAUUAAAAAUUCAACAGUCUUCGUUGUCUGCCUAGGGCUUUAUCUAGAGAAACUGUGUUGUUCUUAGCAGCUUUUCUUUCUUUCUUUUUUUUUUUCUUUUAAGAUUUAUUUAUUUUAGGGGCUGGCUCACUUGUAAUCCUCCGCCUGUGGAACCGGCAUCCCAUAUGGGCCCCGGGUUCUAGUCCCUGCUGCUCCUCUUCCAGUCCAGCUCUCUGCUGUGGCCCGGGAGGGCAGUGGAGGAUGGCCCAAGUGCUUGAGCCCCUGCACCCGCAUGGGAGACCAGGAAGAAGCACCUGGCUCCUGGCUUUGGAUUGGCGCAGCGCGCCCGCCGUAGUGGCCGUUUGGGGAGUGAACCAAUGGAAGGAAGACCUUUUUUUUCUCUCUCUCUCUCACUGUCUAUAUCUGUCAAAUAAAUAAAAAAAUAAAAAUAAAGAUUUAUUUAUUUUACUUGAACGUCACAGUUACAAACACAGAGAGAAAGAGAGGCAGAGAGGCAGAGAGAGAGGUCUUCCAUCUGCUGGUUCACUCCCCAGAUGGCCACAAUGGCUGGAGGUGUGCCAACCCAAAGCCAGGAGCCAGGAGCUUCUUCCAGGUCUCUCACAUGGGUUCAGGGGCCCAAGGACUUGGCCCAUCUUCUACUGCUUUCCCAGGCCAUAGCAGAGAGCUGUAUCGGAAGUGGAGCAGCCAGAUCUCGAACCAGUGCCCAUAGAGGAUGCUGGCACUACAGGCGGCAGUUCUACCCACUACCUCACAGCGCUGGCCCCUUAGGGGCUUUUCAAAAUCCUGGAGUUGCUUACACAGCUCUUUGGAGUCACAGCUCAAAUUUUUCAGCUGUGUUCUCCAGUCAGAUCUUUAGCCUCUGUCUUUCCCUUACUCAGUUCUUGAAGUCAUCCUUAGAGCGUUUUACUUUUUUGCUUCUAGGUUUUCUACUUUUCCCUUUCAGGUUUUGGCAGAAAAUGAGGAGCCUGCUUUUUCCUGGGGAGACAUCAUUGCCACUGAGUACUUCAGGUGAAAAGAUGUUUUUUCCUCAUCCAUUAGUUUCUAGAGUCCCUUCCUUUGAAAACAGAGCUUAAGUGAAUCCAAUUUGCAUCAAAGACUUCAAAUGUCCAUGAAUAUACAUGGACUCCUAGAGCAGCAGCGCUUCUGAAGGAGGCAGACAGCAACUUGUAGACUCCAUCCGUGUAAAGCUGCUGCUGAUUUGGGGAAAGGGAUCACGCCUUUUCUGGAGCAUGCAAGUGAUAUGCACAUUUAACCUACUUCUCCAUUUCCGGAAAUAGAUGAACUUCAUGGCCCAGCUCAUCACUGACGACACACUUCUAGUGAAAUAGGAGAUGAUCCCCUAAAAUUUAUAUAAAAAUGGGGCCCCUUAAAGUUCCCCAGAAGUGCCAUCUGGGGUACCACAUAUGCUACCAGAAUGUUGGGUUCCAUACAAUUUCACCAUAUGCUUAUUACUAAAUCCCCAAUAUUAAUAAGCCCGAGAGGGUUCUUGCCUAAUAUUUAGAGAAGAAUUCUAAGUACCGGCACAGGUAAAUGAGGCAGCAUGGUGCAUUUUAAGCCUUUAUUUAGUGAGAAAGAUGCAUAAGAGAGAGAGGUAAAUCUGGGUUCAUACCGAGCACCAGGAACCAGCCUUGUGGAGGAGCAUGUAGGCCAGGAAGCCUGGAGGCACAGGGCUACAGCAAGCCCUCUCCUGGCAAGAGGCCAGGGAAGAAGAGAAGGGCGGGACACACCGUGUCCCAGGCUUUUAACCCACUUCCAAAGGGGAGUGGUUAAUUAACCUGACUGGCUGGUGGGCACCCAGGUGUGGCCAGGUAGGGGCGUGAGGACACACAGGGGCUUGGUGAAGGUAUCAGGUAGGGCGUGGGUCACACAGAGGCAUGGCGAAGGCAUGGUCUUCUAGCUCACAAACCUAAUCGAUUCUAACCUAUAUACCUAGGUCUAGGCUAACUGGGAAGCCAGGGAAGCUUCUUUACUACAAAACAGAGGCAAAAACCACAAUUUCUAUUAUGGAAAUCCUCAGCACAUCAGAAAAUGGAAGGAAUAGUAUAAUCAGUUCCUGAAUACCUUUUUUUCUCAGCUUUAUUUUGCCAAGCAUGUUUUUCUAUCUAUUUAUUUGCUCCAUCUAUCUAAUCAAUCAGAAUGGUUUAAGGAAUCUCAAACAUCACUUCUUUAGGCUUCAUUUCUAACUGAUUGCUUUUUUUCUCUGAGCAGCCGCACUGCCAUUAUGACACCUAAUAUAAGCACUUAUGAUUUCUUUGUUAUCAAAAAUCCAUUCAACUUUCUCCAAUUGUCCGAACAUGUCUUUUUACAUGAGUGAUUUGUUCAAAUUUCAAACAAGGUCCACAAAUUACAUUUGAUGGAUUUGUCUCCAAAAAGAGUCUUCUAAUUUUUAAUCAAAGUGAUGGGAGGGUAUUUAAAAAAAGACUUGAACAUGCAAGACAGUCUUGCUAGACAGAACAGAGAUUGUGAGCUUGGCUUUAAUAGGUCGGAAACAGGAGGAAUUCUCCAGCCCCUAAGUUUCCAUAUAGUUUUCUUUCUGCUCAAGUCAAACUAGCUCACAUUCUCCUGUGAUUCUCCUAUGAUCUAAUUCUGACUUCAGCACUGGUCACAAGGUAUUUAUCUUUUAAUAUGCUUCUCUAUUUUUAUAUUGGUGUCCUAUACUUUUAUUUUCAUAUUUUAUAUUAUCUCUGCUUCUCCAGUGAGAAAACCAGAAUGUUUAAGUAACAGGUUUAACCAAGCAUUGAAAUUUGACAUACAUUAAUGCCUGCUGUUCACAAAACUUCUCUGCCUUUAUAAACUAUCACUGAAAAAAAACUUCCCAGCUGUGGUAGUCCAACUGCCACAAUUUAUCAAUGAAUAUACUAAAUUCCAGACAGCCUAUGCAGCUUAAAGUACACAUCUGGCCUCGGAUCAGACAUUUCCAGGACUAAAGUAGGGCUCUCCGGCUUUUAUGAGGGUAUUUAAGAAAAUUUGUGGCAAAAAAUAAAAAUAGAAUUGAAAGUAUGACUUUAUUUUGGUGCAAAAGAAAUUGUUGUAAAAUUUUUUAGAAUACAUGGAAAAUGUAAAUUAUGAAAAAACUAAGCAUGGAUUUCAAAAUUUUUUGCAUCACAAUAAACUCAUGCUUUAUUAAAUUCCAUUUGCUUAUGAACUUUUUGAAAAACGCUAUUAAACUGCUAUUUUUCUACUUUAAUAUAGUAUUUGAUUGGAAAGAGACUGCCUCCAGAAGAGAAUCAGCCUUUACAUAUCAAUGCCAAUUAACUCAACAACAGGCUCCAGUAAUUAACAUAUACAAGUCUAACUUUUUAGCUUAAUUGAGCAGAAGGGGACUACUUCCUGAAAGCCGCCCCCCCCCAAAAGUGCUCAUAGAUCCAGCCACACAGAUAUAUGCAUCAUUAUUAUUACCCUUAUUUGAUUUCUGGAAGCAUUUCAUCAGUUUGCACACUUGUUAUAGUGUUUUCUUUGGGGACAAUUCUCAGAAGAGUUUCCUAAGUGGACUAAAAUUGAAUUUACCCAAACGAACUGGAUGAAGGGUUCCUGCUUUGAAAUUCUUCCAAAAUCUUUUCAUCCAAAAAUGCCUUAUGAGGAAUACUUUCAGCCCUGUUAAACAUGGCCCCAAAUUACAUAGCUCAAUCCGGGCAUAGGGUUAGUGGCCCUGAUGUCAGCAAUGCUACCCCACUGUCCCCCAAGCCUCUCUUCCGUAUUCAGCAACCUGGGCUCCCCUGUAAAGCACUAGUUAACUACUGCUGCCCUCCUGUCGGUAGCCCGAAGGUAGGCAAAGAGGAAGGGGAGAUGCAGAACACAGAAAUGCCAGUGGGCAAUUACUACUGAAUCUCUUCAUUCUUCCCAUUUAAAUUUCAUAGCUAAUGUCCAAAUAAUCUAGGAACUUGUAAUGUGUGAGAAGUGCAGUAGAGCAGGGUCUGGAGGGCCAGCUGGGCCUGUCUUUCUCAGGUUCUCUUCCUCUAUUUGGAGGGCAGACUUAUAGAUUAGAAUCCCUGGCAGGUUACUGAAAUGAAUUUACCAGGUGAAAAAAGGGUAUUGAAAAAUGGGGGAGGGGAGGCAGCGCUGUAGUACAGCGAGUUAACGCCCUGGUCUGAAGCAUCCCAUAUGGGCGCCGGUUCUAGUCCUGGCUGCUCCUCUUCUGAUCCAGCUCUUUGCUGUGGCCUGGGAAAGCAGUGGAAGAUGGCCCAGGUCCUUGGGAACAUGCACACACGUGGGAGAUCUGGAGGAGGCUCCUGGCUUCGGAUCGGCACAGCUUCGGCCAUCGCGGCCAGAGAGUGAAGCAACAAAAGGAAGACCUCUCUCUCUGUCUACACCUCUCUCUGUAACUAUAACUCUGUCUUUCAAAUAAAUAAAACAAAUCUUUUUUUUUUUUUAAAGAAAAGUAUGAGGGGCAGAUAUUGCAGCGCAGAAAUUAAGGUGCUACUUUGGAUGCUUUCAUUCCUUAUUGGAGUUAGUGAGUUUGAGUCCUGGCUCUGCUUCCAAUUCCAGCUGCCUGACUAAUGUGCACUCUGGGCGGCAGCUUUCUGACUCAGGCACAUUUAAGGAGUGAAUCAGAAGAUGAUCGAUUUCUCUGUCUCUAUCUCCCUCCUUGCCUUUCAAAUAAAAAUAAAUAAAUAUAUUUUUAAAAAUCUUGAAAACAGGGACCGGUGCUGUGGUGCAGUGGGUUAAAGCCCUGGCCUGCAGGACCAUCAUCUCAUAUGGACGCUGGUUCGAGUCCCCGCUGCUCCACUUCCGAUCCAGCUCUGCUAUGGCCUGGGAAAGCAGUGGAAGAUGGCCCAGGUUCUUGAGCCCCUGCACCUGCAUGAGAGACCCAGAAGAAGCUCCUGGCUUUGGAUCUUCCCAGCUCUGGCUGUUGCAGUCAUUUGGGGAGUGAACCAGUGGAUGGAAGACCUUUCUCUCUCUCUCUCUCUCUCUCUCUCUCUCUCUCUCUUUCUGCCUCUACCUCUCUAACUCCAUUUUUCAAAUAAAUGAAACAAAUCUUUAAAAAAAUCAUGAAAACAGGAUAGAAUGGAAAAUAUCAGAGUGCAUCACUUUUAAUGGUGGUUUUUGCUAAUGUGCACCUGGAAGGUAUCUAUGAUGGUUCAAGCGGUUGGAUUCGUGCUACCCAAGUGGAAGCCCUCAAUUGAGUUCUUGGCUCCUGUCUUCAGCCUAGCUUGUCCCAGCUUGGGCCAUAGCAAGCAUUUGAGCAGCUGAAGUUCAUGCAGCUACACCUUAUUCAGCCACGUUGGAUCUCCCACCAGAGAUUUUUCUAGCAGAGUCUUCCCAGUCCACAGUACACACUUGUCACUGCAGGAUGCCCACUGAGAAAUCUUGAACUUCAUUUUGUCCACUUUGAAAACCGAAGCAGAAGCCACUUCAGCCUAGAAGGCCAAACCUGAGAAGUGCAGACGUCUGAGAAGUGUCUUCAAGACUCCCAGGAAACCAGCACCUGAGAAAAUUGAGGAACCAGGAAGAGGUAAUUAAUUGCAAAACCCUGUUUUCUCCCUUGUUUCUAAUGGUAGUGGCAUUGAUCGACUGUCCAGAAGACUGACAGGGCUCAAUUGCCCCUUAGAAAGCCACCUAAAUGAAGUAUUUUGGCUAGAUAAAAGGGGUCUUUCAGCCCUAGAAGACAUGAUUUAGCAAAAAGUUUUCUAACAACAAUGGAAAAUUUUUUCCAAGUUUUCUUUUUUUGCAUAAAAUAUUGGUCUCAAAAUUGUGAUGUCAGCUCAUGGCAUGUUUACUGAGCUGGCCAAUUGCUGCGCUAUUGUGAGGUAGUGCUGGCUUUUUAGUUCAAGUUGGAUGUGUGUAGCAAAACAAAGGACAGAGAGCAAAAACAUAUUUUAGCACAGUCUUGAUAUUCAUAAUAAGUGUCUCUCCAUUAAAUCAAUGCUACAAACCACCAGGUGAUAUUAGAAUCAGCAAAUGGCCCAGAAUCCAGAGAAUUAAAAAUUGUCUUUUUCACCUGUUAUCAGCCAACAGGAAGUUAUUCUUAGUCCAUACUCAAAGUGAUAACCCUUUAGCUGCCGGAUCAGAACAAAUUCCUCUCCUUACUGUGUGCUUGGUAUUGCAGGCUCUGUGCAGCUUUCUUGAGAGAUAUCAUGGUGGGAAUGAGCAGACUAGGUAUGGGCUUGCAAGCCAACUGGAUCAACAUUCAGUGCUACAGCCAAUCCUUAUUUUGCUGUGGGAAUUUGGGAAAAUUCAACUCCGUGAAUCUUGGUUUCCUUAUCUAUAAUUUGCCUAAUAGCCUUCACAAGACAGUAGCAGGAAUUCCUCAAAUGCUAUUUCCCCAACUUUCUAUGUCCUCUCUUAUUUUUUAAAGAUUUAUUUAUGUUUUGAAAGUCAGAGUUACAGAAGGAUAGAUAGAAAGAGAUCUUCCAUCCACUGGUUAACUCCCCCGAUGUCUGCAACAGCGAGGUCUGGGCCAAGCCAAAACCAGGAGCUGGAAAUUCCGUGAGUCUUCCACAUGGAUGAUGGAGACCCAAACACUUGAGCCAUCAUCUACUGUCUUCCUGGGUGCAUACACUGGAAACUAAAUCUGAAGCAAAGCAGUUGGGACUCAAAGCUGCACUCUAAUAUGGUAUUCCAGCAUCCCAUGUGGUGACUUAACCUGCUGUACCACAACAUCUGUCCCUAGAGCCUGUAAUUUGGUUAUCACACAAACAGUAAUUAAUCCUGCAAGGUUGGGCAUGCACUGUACUCAUAUUGUGGUAGGAUUCUGUAGAAUACUGUGUAUAGAGAUAUACUUUCCUAGGCUUCACAAAGGUAAAAUAUGGGCUAGCAGCUGGGGGUCAUUUUUCCUCCCUUGUCCAUGUUGCAUCAAUUCAUGCAGAAUUAAAUGCACUGUGGAUGUGCAAAAAAAUGAUGUGUUGAUGGAUGUGGAAAAGAGUUACAGAAUGAUUUUUACUACUAUGACUGCCCACUGUCCUUUAUAUCUGAUGCAGCUUUCAGAGACAAGGUGAAGCAGCAAAGUAGAAAAUCAAGCCCAGCUGCUCUCUUCAGAGCUGAGAGAAAGGAAAGGACUCCUCACAAGUUUCCAGGAUGGCACACACUAGUCAAGCCACCCUAAAAAUAAUCAGCCUUUUUUUCUACCAUGAGUGUCAACUAGUGCAUCGGUCAUCAUAAUACCAUCUUCAAAGGAAAAUCAUAAAAAUACAAUUGAAAUAAACCAUUUAAGUGAGCAAAAUACAGCAUUGUGGAUACCCACAUGGCUUAAUUUCUUCACUUGUCUGGAAAGAUAAAAAUACUGGGGUCGGUGUUGCAGUGCAGCAGGUUAAGCUGCCACCUGUGAUAUUGGCAGCCCAUGUGAGCUCCAGUUCAAGUAUCAGCUGCUUUACUUAUUAUCCAGCUCCCUGUUAAUACACCUGGGAAAGCAAUGGAAGAUGGUCAAGUAUUUGGGUCUUGCACCCAUGUGGGAGACUUGAAUGGAUUUCCUGGUUCCUUCACUCAGUCUUGUCCAGCCCCAGCUCUUGGGGGCAUUUCAAGAAUUAACUACCAGAUGGAAUAUCUCUUUCUCUCUUUCUCCGCCUCUCUCUCUCUCAAUCUCUCUGUCACUCUGCCUUUCAAACAAAUUAAUAUUUUUUAAAAAAAUAUGCUGAGAAAUAAAAAGUUUUACAAGUGUAAAAUGCUGAGAAAUAAAAGUUUUUUUUUAAGUCAGUGAAACUAUUUCCAAUCCACAAUCUGAUGAAAGUAUUUGUGGGGAGCAACUGGGAGCAACUCGGACUAGACUAAGUUACUGGAAUUAAGACUUAUUCUACGCAUCUGCUUUCCCACAAUAUGGCGCUGGGAGAGGAGGAAAGAGCUUCUACACAGCUGCCUCCAGUUCAACCAAUAAACAGCAGGACCUGCUCCUGAUUGGAGGAGAGCAGCGAACUCGGCGUGUGGAUAGCAGAGUUGGGAUUGGCGGAAGAGGACUAUAAAGGAGGAGAGAGACAACAUGCACCAGGAACAUCUAUCUGAAGGAACACCUAUCUGAAGGAACACCUGUGCAGCCCCCGAGAGAGCCGGCCGGCGGUGUGCCGCUCCCCCUCGGAAGUGGGGAAAGUGGCAGGGGGAACCGCCCUUCCACGGAGGUGGAAGGGUCGGUAGCCAACCCGGGAAGAACCAGCAGCAAACCCGGGGAGGGCCGAGCAGACGAAAGAACAGCGCAGGGUCCUGUGUCGUUCCUCCACGAAGAUGGGGAGCGACAAGUAUUAUAGGGCCAAAAUAUUUUCAAUUAUUUUAUUUAUUUGUUUAUUUUAAAGUCAAACUUGAGACGGGGGGCAGGGGAGAGAGAUUGAUUUUCUUUUUUCUUUCUUUCUUUUUUUAUUUAUUUGACAGAGUUAGACAGUGAGAGAGAGAGACAGAGAGAAAGGUCUUCCUUCUGUUGGUUCACCCCCUAAAUGGCCGCUACAGCUGGCACUGCGCUGAAUCGAAGCCAGGAGCCAGGUGCUUCCUCCUGGUCUCCCAUGUGGAGGGUGCAGGGGCCCAAGCACUUGGGCCAUCCUCCACUGCACUCCCGGGCCACAGCAGAGAGCUGGACUGGAAGAGGAGCAAUCAGGACUAGAACCUGGCGCCCAUAUGGGAUGCCAGAGCCAAAGGUGGAGGAUUAACCAAGUGAGCCAAGGUGCCGGCCCCCAAGAUUGAUUUUCCAUUCAAUGGUUCACUCUCCACAGGGAUGUAAUGUCCAGGGCUGAGCCAGACAAAAGUCAGGAUCCUGGAACUACAUCCAGGUCUCCCACAUGGGUGGUGGGGGCCAAGCAUUUUGACCAUCUUCUGCUGCUUUUCCAGGCACAUUAGCAGGGAGCUGGAGCAGAAAGUGGAGUAGCCAGGACUCAGUAACCAGCAAUCGUAUGGGAUGCUGGCGAUGCAGUGAUGCUGGUGGUGGCUUAACCCAUUGCGCCACACAACACCAGCCCCCAGAAAAUAUUUUUGAGUAAACCUUAAGAACUUUAAAUGCAAUCAGUUGUAUUUUUCUACCUAUCAUACCCUUUGAGUUUUGUUUUUAAAUUAUUUACUUUUAACUUGAAAUGGAUAUCUAUCUCUAGGGAUAACAUCACUUGCAAUGUAUCUUUAGCAUUAGGCAAAUACAUGGAUGAUUGAUAAAUAUAUUUUGCUAUUCCUUUGUGGAGUGAUGAGCCUGAUAGCUAUUUCCAAAGAUAUGAGUCAGUGAGAACUGAAGCUCUCUAUUAGUAUAUCACUCAGUUCACAUUUUACUAACUGGAAUCAGGGAAGCUAGAGCAAGAGUUUUGUGAAAUCUGAACUGUAGGUAAAAGAGAAUUUCAACUUCAAAGUGCAGCAAGUUGAAGACAAAUUAAAUGUAGAAGACUCGAAGUCAGUAAUUCAGAAAGCGGUGAGUCGUGAUUCUUCAGUAGGAAAGGCAAAUAAAUAGAGUUGUUUAGGAAGAAGUCCUCUUGGGCUCUAUUUAUAAAGCAGCACAUAACUGUGUCAUAUCCUCAAUUAGCCAGUUAGGGAGAGAAAACUUAAUAACUGCCUUCAAGUGCAUGAAGGAUCAUAAUGUGGACACUUCUCUCCCCCGCAGAGCUCGAGUUCUUGGAACUAAAGGAGAAUUUAGAAUAUUAAAGCUAAUCAAAGAGAUUAUCUUUAGAAGUGGAAGAGAUUGAAAUAAUCUCUUUUUAGAGUAUGAGACAGCAAGGGGGAAAGACUUGAGGAUCGGGAGGCAGGGGGGAAAAAUACAGUGGAAAAAGAACCCCAGUCUAUGCACAACCAAUGAGAACUGCUCUGUAAGCAAAAAUUUUAAACUUGCAGAAAAUAUACCUUUAUAUAAUUGCUCAGCCAGAAUACUAUAGGUUAUAGGGUCUUUCAGUAGCAUUAUCUAUAGAGGCAUUUAUAGUUGGGGAAAGGUUGAAAGGGGCAAGGUCAAUAUUAAUUGGAAUAGUAAUUGCAAACCAAAAGUACUAAACAUUUUGACUUAUAUUUCCUGAUCCAAUCCUUACAAUAAUCCUAUGUUGACGGUAUUAUUAUUAAACUUAGGGACAGAGAGGUUAAGCAACAACUUGCCUAAGGUUUUGCAAGUAGCAGAGGCAGGAUUUGAAGUUGUAAAGUCUGACUCCAAAGUUUGUGCUCUUAAACAUCUUGUUAUAUUGCAAGAAUCUGUGGUAGAAAGAGCCCUAGAUUGGAGUCAGAAAAAAACUUGGGUUUUAGACCUGACUGUGCCACUAAUGGAUUAUGUGGCCUGGGGAAAGUCACUUCUUGUCUGUGGGAUCCAAGUUUCUUAUUAUGUUCACUUAAACUCUAGCAGUCUGUGGUGAACUUGAAACAGUUUGUAUUAGUGGCAUGUACGUAAGUGCAUGGAAACAGUUAUUCAGAGUUUUGCAAUCUUCUCUUCCAUGGUAAAUUGCCAUCACUGAGGAGAGUCCAUAGAGGCAGAGAUGUGGAGACAGCGUUUUGAUGGAGCUCAGAAUGUUGGGACUGAAAAAGACUCAGAAGGAUCAAGAAUUCAUGGCUAGAAUCCAUAGGGGGUCACAUUUCUAAAGGACAACCAAUGAAGAGAACUGAUAUUUACUGAGCACUUACUAAGUAUCAGGUGCUUCAACACUAGGAUGAUAAAUAUGUCCUUCAUUUAUUUCAGGAGAAAGGUGGCUCAUAGUGACAAAACGACUUACUUCGGGCCACACAGUGACUGUGUGAUAGAGUUGAGACUCACUUGAACCUAAAGAAGAUGCUUGGGGCCGGCACGGCACUGUGGCAUAGCAGGUAAAGCUGUAGCCUGCAGUGCCCACAUCCCAUAUGGGCACUGGUUCAAGUCCCAGCUGCUCCACUUCUGAUCCAGCUCUCUGCUAUGGCCUGGGAAAGCAGUAGAAGAUGGCCUAAGUCCUUGGGCCCCUGCACCCACGUGGGAGACCUGUAAGAGGCUCCUGGCUCCUGGCUUCGGAUCAGCCCAGCUCUGGCCAUUGCAGCCAUCUGGGGGAGUGAACCAGUGGAUAGAAGACCUCUCUCUCUCUCUCUCUCUCUCUCUCUCUCUGCCUCUCUUUCUCUCUGUGUGUAACUCUCACUUUCAAAUGAAUACAUAAAUUUUAAAAAAGAUGCUACUUGUACUCUACUGCCUCAGAGCUUUUAAAUAUUGUACCUAGACAAAGAAAGAAUGAGCUAGUGGGGGGUUAGGAAUUGGUAGUGACAUUCUAAGGGCUAUGGAAGUUGACUUUGACUGACUGUUCCAUGAGUAAGUUGUAGGCAAGAUUUGGAUUCCAAGAUAGGAAGAAGGAUGGGAAGGUUAGAAGUGCAGAGAUACUACAGAGGGAAGCACAAGAAUUCUUCCUGUGCAUGAUACUCAUGUUGCAUAACUUCAACAGGUCCCAUUUAUAACUCCCUGCAGUUGUGCAAUACAGUGGUCCAGUUCCUUUUCUGAACCAUUUCUUUCUUUUUACUUUUUUAAAAAAACUUUUAUUUAAUAAAUAUAAAUUUUGAAAGUACAACUUUUGGAUUAUAGUGGCUUUUCCCCCCAUAACCUCCCUCCCACCUGCAACCAUCCCAUCUUCCACUCCCUCUCCCAUCCCAUUCUUCAUCAAGAUUCAUUUUCAAUUAUCUUUAUAUAAAGAAGAUCAACUUGGUAUAUACUUAGUAAAGAUUUCAACAGUUUGCACCCACACAGAUACACAAAGUAUAAAGUACUGUUUGAGUAAUAGUUUUACUGUUAAUUCGCAUAGUACAACACAUUAAGGCAGAAAUCCUACAUGGGGAGCAAGUAUACAGUGAAUCCUGUUGUUUAUUUAACAAUUCACAGUCUUAUUUAUGAUGUCAGUAAUCACCCGAGGUUCUUGUCAUGAGCUGCCAGGGCUAUGGAAGCCUCUUGAGUUCACAAACUCUGACCUUAUUUAGACAAGGCCAUAGUCAAAGUGGAAGUUCUCUCCUAACUACAGAGAAAGGUACCUUGUUCUUUGAUGGCUUGUUCUUUGUGCUGGGAUCUCACUCACAGAGAUCUUUAAUUUGGGUCAUUUUUUUUUUUUGCCACAGUGUCUUGGAUUUCUAUGCAUGAGAGGCUCUCAUGGGAUUUUUAGCCAGAUCUGAAUGACUUACAGGCUGAUUCUGAGGCCAGAGUGCUGUUUAUGGCAUCUGCCAUUCUAUGAGUCUGCUGUGUAUCAUGCUUCCCAUGUUGGAUCCUUCCCUCCUUUUUAAUUCUAUCAGUGAUUAUUAGCAGACACCAGACUUAUUUAUGUGAUCCCUUUGACACUUAAUCCUAUCAUUAUGAUCAAUUAUGAACUGAAACUGAUCACUUUGACUAGUAAGAUGGCAUUGGUACAUGCCACCUUGAUGGGAUUGAUUUGGAAUCCCCUGGCACAUUUCUAGCUCUACCAUUAGGGGUAACUCCAAGUGAUCAUGUGCCAAACUGUACAUCUCCUCCCUAUCUUAUUCCCACUCUUGUAUUUAACGGGGAUCACCUUUCAGUUAAUUUUAAAUGCCUAAGAAUAAUUGUGUGUUAAGUAAAGGGUUCAACCAGAGGUAUUAAGUAGAAUAAAAAAUUAUUAAAGGAAUAAAAUGGUAAGUUGUCUCUCGACAGUCAGGACAAGGACUGAUCAAGUAAUUGUUUCUCAUAGUGUCCAUUUCACUACUACAGGUUUCCUUUUAGGUGCUCAGUUAGUUGUCAAAGAUCAGGGAGAACAUAUGGUAUUUAUCCCUUUGGGACUGGCUUAUUUCACUUACCAUGAUGUUUUCUAAAUUCCUCCAUUUGGUGCAAAUGACCGGAUUUCAUUUUUUUUUUUA